rnacentral:rRNA from 1 species
UACGUAGGGUGCAAGCGUUGUCCGGAAUUAUUGGGCGUAAAGAGCUCGUAGGCGGUCUGUCGCGUCUGCUGUGAAAACUCAGGGCUUAACCCUGAGCUUGCAGUGGGUACGGGCAGACUAGAGUGCGGUAGGGGAGACUGGAAUUCCUGGUGUAGCGGUGAAAUGCGCAGAUAUCAGGAGGAACACCGAUGGCGAAGGCAGUGAUCUGGGCCGGUACUGACGCUGAGGAGCGAAAGCGUGGGUAGCAAACAGG